AUUGAACGCUGGCGGCAGGCCUAACACAUGCAAGUCGAGCGGAUGAAGGGAGCUUGCUCCUGGAUUCAGCGGCGGACGGGUGAGUAAUGCCUAGGAAGCUGCCUGGUAGUGGGGGAUAACGUCCGGAAACGGGCGCUAAUACCGCAUACGUCCUGAGGGAGAAAGGGGGGGAUCUUCGGACCUCACGCUAUCAGAUGAGCCUAGGUCGGAUUAGCUAGUUGGUGGGGUAAAGGCCUACCAAGGCGACGAUCCGUAACUGGUCUGAGAGGAUGAUCAGUCACACUGGAACUGAGACACGGUCCAGACUCCUACGGGAGGCAGCAGUGGGGAAUAUUGGACAAUGGGCGAAAGCCUGAUCCAGCCAUGCCGCGUGUGUGAAGAAGGUCUUCGGAUUGUAAAGCACUUUAAGUUGGGAGGAAGGGCAGUAAGUUAAUACCUUGCUGUUUUGACGUUACCAACAGAAUAAGCACCGGCUAACUUCGUG
rnacentral:rRNA from 1 species